rnacentral:lncRNA from 1 species
UCGAAGACAGCGCUGCCGGCCGCCAGCACGAAGCGGUGGGCGGGGAUGCGCUGCUGGCCGGGCCCCGGAGGCGCUCCCCCGGCUCCGCCGCCGCCGCGCGGGCCGCCCUUGCCCACCACGAAGUGCACGUCGCUGAGCAGCUCGUUGGAGAAGAGGAAGGCGAAGCGCUCCCGCAGCGAGCCCUUGGUGGCCUGCCAGUUGUACAGCGGCUCCCGCUGCAGCACCGCGCCGCUCUCCGCGGCGGUGGUAGCGGUCGCGGCGGCGGCACCGGUGGCAGCGGGAGGCGCCUCCGCGGGCGCACCGCCGCCGGCGGCCGCCAUCACCGCCCUGAGGGGCCGCGCCGGGCCGGGCUGAGCCCUCACUCAGCCGGCAGCACAAGCAUCUCCCCUGUGCGCCGCGACGUCAGCAGCUCGCUGCGCAUGCGCCCCGGCCUCGCUGCGCAGGCGUGCGACGAAACCGUUCGUGCCCGACGGGCGCGGCCAUGUCCUGUGUGUGGGCGGUCGGGAGGAGCGGAGCUUCGAGCCUCGGUCGUUCGCUGAGGGUGUGCGCUCCCCCUGCGUGCGGUGGGAGUGUGCGGCCGGCGGGAGAGCCGUCCUGGGCCGUGCAAAGGCGGGAGGCUGAGCUCUGCCGCGGUGUGGAGAUUCGUUUUGGUGCGUGUGUGACUGAACAACGCUGUCCCGUGAAGGCACAUGAAACGUAAAUCCGUUUUAAUAAUACCUAAUUAACAGGCAAAACCAAGCAUGGACGCCUAUUUUAACUAUUUCUGGAAUAACAUUGAAAUAUUGACGCCUGGUGGGUGUGUGCUGUGCCAUUUAUGUACAAAAGCCAUCGAUUGGAAGUGUGCCUCCACAACGGCCGUUAUAAACCUCUGAGGAGGCAAACAAAGCCAAACAGCCUCAGUGAAUGUGGCAGGAUGUGUUUAUUUCCAUCAGAGGCCAUCGUAUUUAACAUCCUCGGUCCAGGUGUGGUCCAAAGUCGUGAAUUAACUCUGCAAGUUCUGACAAACAGAAUACGGUUAUUAAUUCAAUACGUUUGUGGCCUUCAGGAACGAACGCGAGAAGAAACACUUGCGUUGUCACAGCCGUGCCAAAGCAGGCACUGUCCUUUGGAACAUAAAGGUGGAUCCUUUUGCCAUCUGCUGGAGCUUUGGUGUAAAUACAGCAGCAAUUUAAAUUAUGGAGCUGAAAGUUUUCAGAUUCCUUUUCCCAUCAGAAAGAGGAUAGAGGAGAAGCUGAAUUUACUUGUAUUGAAGAAGAACUGAAGAAUUUGGUGAUCAAACUGCAGGGAUUUCUGAGAUACUCGUGAUGCCAUGGAUGUCCCAGAGACAGGAAUGCCUGCCCAGAGGCCCUGUCCUUCCCUUCCAGUUAAACCCAGCCAGUUCUGUGAGAUCCGUCAGCAGGGUUUGAGUUACAAAGCAUAUUGUUUUCAAUCGUUUGUUCCUGAGAUUAUUCAAAUUCUCCUCCCUUUCCUUCUUUUCCUCACAUGAACUCAGCUUUGUGUAUGUUCUAAGUAGCUGUUUGUUGCGAUGAUCUGAGUUUUUGAGCUGGCACUUAUUUUUACAAGGACUAGCAAUUGUUCUCAUAAGUAGGUAGUAUCUCUUCUCUGUUUUGGGAGGAAAAAGAAUUCAGAGUAAAUCAUGGAUUUGUUUCUGAUUAAACUUCCUUGUUAGGACAGCUCAACAGCUUUUCAUUUCCAUGCUCAAUUACAUUCUUAAAAUCUCUUACAUCUGAUUCAUACUACUGCUGUGAAUGUCAGACAUACAUUCCCAUAACUGAAUUACUACUAGCAUUAAAAUUAUUCAAAUAUGUGAAUUUGUAGCAAAAAUGCUUCCAAAUAGUAACAGUAAAGUUAUCUCCUUGAUCUUUUUAUUGUGGUUAUUACUGUUUUGUUUGCAUUAACCUGUGCUGUUUCAAUUGGAGUGUACAGGUAAUGUGACCUUGCAGUUUUGGAACACUGGAUCCAUGCAAGCACAGAAAACACAUUCAGUCUUACAUUGCUGCUCUACUAAAGGCCAGGGAUUUUUUUAAUGUCUUUCAUAGUGCCUAUAUAAUGUUGAUAAAAGAAAUCCAAAAUAAGAGCAGCUGAUAUCUUUUCCUCUAUUAGAAAAUUUAUUGUAAUCUAAAGCUGACAAUAAUAUGGACGCAACUUUC